rnacentral:rRNA from 1 species
CGCGGUAAUACGUAGGGGGCGAGCGUUGUCCGGGAUUUACUGGGCGUAAAGGGUGAGUAGGCGGUAAUAUGUGUCAGAUGUAAAAGGCUAUGGCUUAACCAUAGUUGGCAUUUGAAACUGUAUUACUUGAGUGCAGGAGAGGUAAGUGGAAUUCCUAGUGUAGCGGUGAAAUGCGUAGAUAUUAGGAGGAACACCAGUGGCGAAGGCGACUUACUGGACUGUAACUGACGCUGAGUCACGAAAGCGUGGGUAGCAAACAGGAUUAGAUACCCUGGUAGUCCACGCUGUAAACGAUGAGUGCUAGGUGUUGGGUAGCGAUAUUCAGUGCCGAAGUAAACACAAUAAGCACUCCGCCUGGGGAGUACGGUCGCAAGACUGAAACUCAAAGGAAUUGACGGGGACCCGCACAAGCAGCGGAGCAUGUGGUUUAAUUCGAAGCAACGCGAAGAACCUUACCAAGGUUUGACAUCCCCUUGACAGAUGCAGAGAUGUGUCCUCCCCUUCGGGGACAAGGGAGACAGGUGGUGCAUGGUUGUCGUCAGCUCGUGUCGUGAGAUGUUGGGUUAAGUCCCGCAACGAGCGCAACCCUUAUCCUUAGUUGCCAGCAGGUCAAGCUGGGCACUCUAAGGAGACUGCCGAUGAUAAAUCGGAGGAAGGUGGGGAUGACGUCAAAUCAUCAUGCCCCUUAUAUCUUGGGCUACACACGUGCUACAAUGGUCGGUACAAAGGGCAGCGAAGGAGUGAUCUGGAGCAAAUCCCAAUAAACCGAUCCCAGUUCGGAUUGUAGGCUGCAACUCGCCUACAUGAAGUCGGAGUUGCUAGUAAUCGCGAAUCAGAACGUCGCGGUGAAUGCGUUCCCGGGUCUUGUACACACCGCCCGUCACACCAUGGAAGUUGGUAAUACCCAAAGU